rnacentral:lncRNA from 1 species
GAGGAAGAAAGGGGAUUUGGCCAGGAGCGGAGGGUAGGAGACGGAUCACCCUGGAAACAGCUGGCAUUCUCCCCCAGGAGCCUGUGUGUGGAUGUGGCUGUUAGCAUCAGAGGUUGCAUAUCCACCCCACCUCACCCCAAACCCCCUUUACCUGCUAUGAGGGAACUGGAAGCUGCAAGCAUCCUCAGCUGGCAACUGCACCUCCACGAAUGGCUGGGUCUCUGUAGUAAAACUGCGGUGGGAGGCCAUUGUGAUUGUGAUAGACCCUGGAAACCUGGCUGACGCCCUUUUAAACUGCAGUUGGAGGAGGCUGACGAAGUAAAAAAGUUGACGUUGCCAGCUAACUA